AAGAAGUGUAUAUCAAAGCACAGAUUCGACAGACAAGAACAAAGGAAAAACUGAGUACUCUCAGAGAAGACAAUGAUGUAAAUAUAUUAAGACGAAGUCCAGAGAUUAAAUGGGUUCAACAAGAAAAAGGUCAUGUCAGAGUACCAAAAACUGUGGAUACGGAAUGGAACAAUCUUUGGUAUUUGAAUGACGAUGUUACCCCAACAAUGAAAGUCAGUAGCGCCUGGUCAGCAGGUUACUCUGGUUCUGGUAUAGUCAUUGCAGUAGUGGACGAUGGAUUACAAACCGACCAUCCAGAUCUAGCUGCAAAUGUUGAUACUAUUAAUGACAUAGACAUUUAUGGUGAGGAUAAUAAUCCGGAUUCUAAUACAGACAGUAGUCAUGGUACACAAGUAAGUGGAUUAAUUGCAGCGGUGAAAGAUAACAAUAUCUGUGUAGUUGGUGUCGCAUUUAACUCCACCCUCAUAGG